GGGCGCAUGACGCAGCCAGGUAGCGUAACAGGCUUUUAUAUUUUCUUUGUUUGAAAAUAAAGGUACCUGUAAGCCGUGGGUUCGAAUCCCACUGCGCUCG
rnacentral:tRNA from 1 species